CCCGUUUGGAAUGUUAUUGAAUGGACGUAAUCAGUGGUUAUCAGCCCCAAAACUAACAUUAGAAAUGUGGACCGUAAAUGUUGUGGAUUUCACUUCAUGUUUCAUUGUGAUUUAUGUUAUAACCAGUGUGAUAUUUAACACUGAGUUUUUCAUUAGGUCUAACCGGAGCUGGUCUUAUAUCUGUGUUGAAGGCUGAACCUGGACCUGGGCCAGACCGAUACAACCAGGUCUAACCGGAGCUGGUCUUAUCUCGGUGUUGAUGGCUGAACCUGGACCUGGGCCAGACCGAUGCAACCAGCCAUCCUGGUUGGCAUCCAUGGCCAACUGGGUAAGGAGUUGGACAACUAACCGGUGGGUGGUCGGUUCAAAUCCCGACUCGAAUCCCGACCGGGACACAGAAAAUGUGAAUAGGAUGAACAAGGACAGUUGUAAGAUCGUAGUGCUGGCAGCACUGGGCCGGCCCUUCAGUCUGGGGAUGCUCUACGACUGUCGCAACGACUCACUGAUCCCUGGUAAAUAAAUACAAGUCCCGAGUCUAACGGACAAGACACAAGA